AAUAAGUGUAGCCAUAAGUUUUUCGUACCAACUUUGAUCAUCCGUUUUAUUUGAAAUUUUUUUACUACUGGUGUUUUUAUUGUUAUUAGAUUAUAAAACAUGAAUAUAGUUUAUACAUGAUUUAUGUUUUUUAUUUUUUUCAAAACAAUUAAAUAAAACAGACGAUCAAAGUUGAACAAAGAAACUCAUGGCACCCAAGACA
rnacentral:pre_miRNA from 1 species